GCGGAGGAAAAGAAACCACCAGGGAUUGCCUCAGUAGCGGCGAGUGAAGCGGCAAAAGCUCAAAUUUGAAAUCUGGCGUCUUUGGCGUCCGAGUUGUAAUUUGAAGAAGGUAUCUUUGGGCCCGGCUCUUGUCUAUGUUCCUUGGAACAGGACGUCACAGAGGGUGAGAAUCCCGUGCGAUGAGAUGACCCGGGUCUGUGUAAAGUUCCUUCGACGAGUCGAGUUGUUUGGGAAUGCAGCUCUAAGUGGGUGGUAAAUUCCAUCUAAAGCUAAAUAUUGGCGAGAGACCGAUAGCGAACAAGUACAGUGAUGGAAAGAUGAAAAGAACUUUGAAAAGAGAGUGAAAAAGUACGUGAAAUUGUUGAAAGGGAAGGGCUUGAGAUCAGACUUGGUAUUUUGCAUGUUGCUCUCUCGGGGGCGGCCGCUGCGGUUUACCGGGCCAGCAUCGGUUUGGAGCGGCAGGAUAAUGGCGGAGGAAUGUGGCACGGCUUCUGCUGUGUGUUAUAGCCUCUGACGAUACUGCCAGCCUAGACCGAGGACUGCGGUUUUUACCUAGGAUGUUGGCAUAAUGAUCUUAAGUCGCCCGUCUUGAA
rnacentral:rRNA from 1 species